AUGACGGAAUUUGCCAAUUCCCCAUUCUUCACAAGGCAAGGAUUGGAACCCCCUGAAGCAGCAUCUUAUUGGCAUCUCGAAGCUUCUCGGACCAAGUUGUGGUAUCUGCAAACGCCAACUAAGGACAGAAUGGAAGCAGAAUGGUUCUCGGGUAUCAAGGCUGUCACCUCAACCGCCACGACAGUGGUAUCUGGUUUAAAUGAUUGGAUUGCUUUUCUUCAAUGGUUCCAGCCAGACAAAACUUUGGAGAAUGGACAGCUGCAGGAGGAGCUCUGGAAACUCGAGACAACAAUGCCAAUGAUGCAGGAAAUGACCGAUAAAGCAGAGUGGUCAAGUCAUAAGGACCCAGUAGCAAAACUUUUAGAAGAACUCAAGAGUGUCUUUUAUGAUAGUGAAGAUACUCUUGAUGAUCUGAACUAUUACGUGCUGAAAUCAAAGAAGAGAAAGGUGCACUGCCAACAGAUUUCACUAAGAGCACAGUCUGCUGUGGCUUUGGUAAAGCCAGAAACAAGUUCUCUUCCAAAUGAACCUAAGAUCUUUGGCCGCCAAAAGGAAUUGAUGGAAAUUAUUCAAUUGCUUGGCGUGCCAGUAAGCAUCCAUAGUGGUGGGAAAAGAAAAAACAGUAAAAGUGCAACUGAUGCACUCAGCACCCAGGAAGCUUUCAUUGAUGAUGCAAGAAAUGAAGGUGUGGGUGUACUGGCUUUAACUGGCAUUGGUGGUGUAGGUAAAACAACUUUGACACAACAAAUCUACCAUCAUCCUCUGGUAGAAGCUCAUUUCAACCAACAGCUUUGGAUAUGUGUGUCCGAUGACUUUGACGUUAAGAGAUUGACAAAAGAGCUCGUACAGUCCUCAGGGGAGAAAGCAUUGUCAGAUAACCUGAAUUCUCUCCAAUCAAUACUGGCUACUGCUGUCAAGUCUAAGCGGUUUCUGCUCGUGUUAGAUGAUAUAUGGGACGAUGUUCUGACUGAAAAUGGACAGGAAUGGGAGAACUUCUGUGCUCCUCUAACACGUGGGCUUCCAGGAAGCAUUAUCCUAGUGACUACCAGAUCAUGUGCAUUCAAUUGCAAGGGCUGCAAAAAUGAUGCAGAUUUAGAAACCAUUGCAAGGAAGAUUGUUCCCAAACUGAAAGGGUCUCCUCUAGCUGCCAAAACUCUUGGCCGGUUGCUAAGGGUGAAUCAUGACAUUGAACAUUGGAGAAAUGUCUUAGAUAGUGAGCUUUGGGAAUUAAAGCAAGAAAAGGAGGAGAUCUUGCCGGCUCUUAGAUUGAGCUACAUUUAUCUGCCUUUCCGUUUGAAGAGGUGUUUCUCACUGUGUGCAAUGUACCCAAAAGACCAUGUCUUUCAGAUGGAAGUUGCUGUUCACAUAUGGUGUGCCCAAGGUUUCGUGGAACCUCAAGGUCAAAUUCCUCUUUCAGAUAUUGCGCGUUCCUAUUUUCAAGAACUUAUAGACCGCUCACUCUUUCAAGAAGCUGAGGGGGCACCUGAUGCAUACGUCAUUCAUGAUUUGAUCCAUGAUAUGCUCCAGUUAGUCUCAGCAAAUGAAAGUUUCGUCGUAAGAAAUGAAUAUGACCUUCUAAAUGUUCCUCAAAAUGUCCGGCAUUUGUCACUGUUCACAGAGGAGAAUUUUGAUUCCAAAAGAUUUAUGAUUCUAUCUCAGCACAAGAAGCUGCGGACAAUUUUUAUCAAGGAAUCAUUGAACCAGACUGCUCUUAUUCCUGUAAUUGACUGUUGGUCCAGUGCCUUGAAAUAUCUCCGUUUUCUGUCUUGUGGCUUUAAUGCUAUAAAGGUGCUGCCUGAGACUGUUGCUCGUUUUAAGCUUCUGAGGUGCUUAAAGUUUGGAAGCUCCAGGACUUGUACUUUUCAUACAUUCCCAGAGUCAUACUGUUGCCUUUAUAAUCUGCAAACGUUCGUGGGGCUAAGCUUCAUAUUCCAGAACUUACCAAGGAACUUCACUAGACUUGUCAACUUGCAGCACUUCAGAAUUAAUACUCUUACUCAUCAGAGACACUGCACACUAUAUUCUGUUCCUUCCGAGUUCUCCCAUAUCAGAUUGCUAAGGUACAUGAAUCUUAAGGGAGAACUGAAUCUGGAAGGCAUGUCCUAUCUGCAACCAAAUGAUGUACAACAGCUCGAAAUGAGCAAAAGAAAGGAUAUUCGGAAACUAAUAUUAGCUUUUGACCAGCGUAGGGGCACCUCUGAUAGUGAUAUGGAAGUUCUUGAGGCUCUUUGCCCCCAUCCAGAUGUCAUUCAGUGCCUGGAUAUCAAGUAUUUCAAAGGCGACUUAAAUCCUACUUGGUUUAAGCCAUCAAACCUGCAGAGCUUAAUGCAGCUCCACUUCAUAACAUGUGAUAUACGUACAGUAUCUUGGGGUGGUGACCAUGCUGGCACUAUGUUCUCAGCUCUCACUUUUUUGAACAUUUCUAUGUGCAGCAGACUGUCUUCGCUUGAACAACUUCUACAGGCACCUGGUCUUCCAGCAAUCAGAAUAAUUAGUAUUGACCGUUGCCCAGAGUUGGUGAACCUUCCUGUUGAAACCUUUGAAGCUUUUGAAUGUCUUGAAACACUGAGCAUCUGGAGCUGCCCAAAGAUUAAUUGGGAAAUGCUUGUUGGGUUGCCGCCUUCAUUGCAAUAUCUGAACAUGAUUGAUUUUGGUCAAUUUUCUGAUCACUUCCUGAGCUGCCUGGAAGAUCUAGCAUCGCUACUGAAACUGAAUUUAUCUUCUGAAUCUUUGACUUCAAUUCCCAUACAACAAUGGUCAUCUCUACUGCGCCUGGAUGUUUGGAACUGUAGCAAAUUAACAACAGUUGACUUCACUCCUCGUUCCUUACCAGCAGUAAAAGUAAUCACAAUUCGAAAUUGUGAAGCUUUAUUGUCUCUACCUGGCGAAACGUUUGUGGAGUUCUGUUGUCUAGAGGAAUUGAUGAUACGUGAAUGUCCAAAUAUUGAGUGGAGAGGCUUGACAUUUCCUAUAUCGCUUCGGGAGCUGUACCUCAAUGACUGUGGAGACAUCUCACCAUGGGUUCCGAACUCACUGGAGCACCUCAACCACUUAACCCAUCUGGCGUUGAUGAACCUCAAGUACAUCAAAUCUAUCUCUGCACAAAUAUGGGCACAGAGUUUGUCAAAGCUGGAAUUCUUGCAGAUCUGUGAGUGUCCUCAUCUGCAAGCGAUUGGUGGUCCCAAAGGAAUUGCAGGCAUUACUAAUGCAUUUGUUGAAUCGUGUGACAAGCUAAAGGGUAUAAAGCAACCUUUCCGGAGAGGUAGAAUGGCCCACUUCGGCCACUUUUGA
rnacentral:rRNA from 1 species